rnacentral:rRNA from 1 species
GAUGAACGCUGACAGAAUGCUUAACACAUGCAAGUCAACUUGAACUUCGGUUUGGGUGGCGGACGGGUGAGUAACGCGUAAAGAACUUGCCUCACAGAUAGGGACAACAUUUGGAAACGAAUGCUAAUACCUGAUAUUAUGAUUUUAGGGCAUCCUAGGAUUAUGAAAGCUAUAUGCGCUGUGAGAGAGCUUUGCGUCCCAUUAGCUAGUUGGAGAGGUAACGGCUCACCAAGGCGAUGAUGGGUAGCCGGCCUGAGAGGGUGAUCGGCCACAAGGGGACUGAGACACGGCCCUUACUCCUACGGGAAGCAGCAGUGGGGAAUAUUGGACAAUGGACCAAGAGUCUGAUCCAGCAAUUCUGUGUGCACGAUGAAGUUUUUCGGAAUGUAAAGUGCUUUCAGUUGGGAAGAAAAAAAUGACGGUACCAACAGAAGAAGUGACGGCUAAAUACGUGCCAGCAGCCGCGGUAAUACGUAUGUCACAAGCGUUAUCCGGAUUUAUUGGGCGUAAAGCGCGUCUAGGUGGUUAUGUAAGUCUGAUGUGAAAAUGCAGGGCUCAACUCUGUAUUGCGUUGGAAACUGUGUAACUAGAGUACUGGAGAGGUAAGCGGAACUACAAGUGUAGAGGUGAAAUUCGUAGAUAUUUGUAGGAAUGCCGAUGGGGAAGCCAGCUUACUGGACAGAUACUGACGCUGAAGCGCGAAAGCGUGGGUAGCAAACAGG